rnacentral:lncRNA from 1 species
CUUUUCAGUUCUGUCUUCCUGAGGCUGCUGUUUCUGGGCAUGGCCAGGGGAUCUUCAGACUUUACAAACCAGUUGUGCAGAGCCAGGCAUUUCAAUAAGGAACAAAAUGCUGAGUAACAACAUGAAGUCAGAGUGUUGCUUGCCAAGAGCUGGGAGGCCUGGGUGGUUUCCCAAUCUUAAAGAAGCAGAAGGAUAUUAAAGUGAGCCUCCCAAAGGAAAACGUGGAUCUACUUACCAACGCAGAAAAUGAUACACACGGAUUCGAUUUAGGCACGCUACAUUCAAAUGACUUGGAAGAGCAGGUUCUCUGAGCCAGGAUACUAAAGUCCCUGUUUAGGAAAGAGCCACGUUGUAUGUUUACCCUACCACAAAGAUACAGUGCUGGCAGAGGAAACAGCAGCAAUGAUGCUCUGCGAGCCUGACUCAGGGCCAGCAGUGAUGGCAGCCCAAGAAUUCUGGAGGAAAGUGGCUCUGGGAAUUGAACAGUGGCUCAGUGAUGUUGGGGCCACCAAGUCUGCAAUUCUCCCUACCUGUUCUUCAUGGUUGUAAGAUGACUGCUGCAAUUCUCGGCAUCAUGUGCAUGUUAAUGUCAGGAGGAAGAAAGGAAGAGGGAGCACUGGGAUGUUACAUUCAUUUUGUCAGGAAAAGCAAAGCCUUUCCAGACAGCUCCGAAACUUGCUUACCUCUCAUUGGCCAGCACCAUCACUUGACCACUUGUCCACUCCUAGCUGCAAGGAAAGUGGCAAAGUAGAAGGUAUUUGAGAAUGUCUGCUGGGUUAGCCAAAACAAUAGUGACUUCUACACCCAAUUUUCUGGGCACUGCAGAAGUAUCCUUGAGUCCUAUGUGAUCAGAGGGAGAGCAAACCUCAAUAAUGAAACAGAUUCAAUUUCCAUCACCCAGUGAGACACCAUGGGAUUAGAAUAAAUUUUUAAAAAAACAAAUUGAAAAAAAUGCAUUUUUAAAACAACAAAAUCAGAAAGGAUGAAAGGUGAUAUUUCUAGCAUAUCAGUUUGUGGUGGUAAAUUAAUUACCUUAUACAAAGGCCUCAGUGACUUUCUUCUCCUUACCUAACGAAUCAUCUUUAAAAUAAGUAAAAUAAAGAAACAAGAGCAGCAGCAGAUGCUUCCUAAAAAGAAGUUACCAAAUCUGUUCACCACAAACCUGAGAAUUCAACUGUGGACAUUUGGACACCAGCAAUGAACAUGAAACUCAGCUUAUGAGGCAUAUUUGGCUAAAGGUCAAGGUGACUUAAAGUUCAUCAUAGGACAUCUACAAUUUGCAAAGCAGGUGACUGGAUAUGGACUCCUUCCAAGUCUCAUUUAAUUGGAUAAUGCCUACGUUUUAAGUAUCAGAAGUGAGUCUUUCUCUAUUAAAUGAAGUCAGUUCCACUAAAACCUAAAUCUUGUUUGGCAGGCACUCCAUGUUUCUUAAUUUUUAUUCCAUGCUGUAUAUUCUUUUAGACUUGAUUUUCACUUUUUUUUCUUUUUUCCUGUACAUUUAUCUUUGCUGUGAAACAAAGUGCCCUGCUUUGAAGGACAGGUUUGUGGGCUGCUGGUGGUGAGACAACAGCAGUCCUUCCAAGUCUUCCUCCCAUCACUCUGUUAGCUCUCCCUUUGUUUUUAAUUAGCAUUACACCAGUUAAUUCUGUUAUCUCUUAACCCUGGUUCUGCAUCCUCUUCUUCUUUUCUAUUCCUUACUCCGCUCCUGUUUUUUCUUGUUCUGCUUUUCCAAGAAAUGUCUUGUCUCCUCAUCAGUUGACUGUCUUCUCUUUCCAGAGGGACCAUAAAGGUGCCAGCCUAAGGAACACGUAAAACGUGGGAACAGACAAACAAGCUGCUGCCUAUUACAGAGAUAGAUAAUUAACUUUGGACCAUUACAUGCAAUUCAUCAGCUUAUCUUUUUCAAACUUUAUAUAAGAAGUCAUUUCCCAAUGGUAACCACUUGCCAGCUGCAACUUUGACGCAUAUUAUCAGGAUAGGUGAGAUUGAUGGGGGCCCUUUGAACUCUUCCCAGGGAAUUAUCUUUAUAAUGUUACAGUUUUCUCUAUAGCAUGGUCAUAUUGUUAACAUUGGUUAUAAGGUCAUAUGGUUAGUAUGGUUAGUAUUGGUGGCUCACAGCUGUAAUACCAGCACUUUGGGAGGCCAAGGUGGGAGGAUCACUUGAGCCCUGGUGUUCAAAACCAGCUCUGGAAACAUAGCAAGACCUUGUCUCUACAAAAAAAAAUUAAAUAAAUUAAAAGAUUAGCUGGGCAUGGUGGCACAUGCCUGUAGUCCUCACUACUUGGGAAACUAAGGUGGGAGGAUCCUUUGAGCUUGGGAGGUUGAGGCUGCAGUGAGCUGUGGUUGUGCCAUGGCACUCCAGCCUGGGUGACAGAGUGAGAGCCUGUCUCAAAAAAAAAAAAAAAAAAAAAAAAAAGUACCUGUAAGGUCUUUGGGAUUUUGAAGAUGAAAGGUGUUGCAUAAAUUGAAUGAAUUCACUUAGAGAGAUAGAAGGCAACUACAGGGAAUAUUACGUACAUCAUGGAGCGGAAAGCACUAAGGCCUGUGGAAUUAUUCUCAGUGACACGUCGUUGAGGGCAGUGGUCCACAUGUUUUGAACAUGGUUUCUCCCAGGUGAAAAGGAUGAGUAAUUUGUUCUCCUUCACAUGUGUGUAUGUAGGUCUUAUACACAGCAGAUUUGCCACAAAACAAAUGAAGAUUACACUUUGGGCCCCUCUCUCACAUGAGCCCCUUCCAAAGUUCUGUUUGCUAAUUUUACAUUUUGUAAUUUCUUAUUAUUUUUCUUAAAGAAGCCUCCUCCAAUUGCAUAAACUUCAAGCCUCACAAAAUUUGGAUCCAUACCUGAGCCAACAUACAAUACAAUUUUCCAUUUCUAACUUUUAGUUGUACCUAGUGUUUUAUUGGAAAUGAUCAAGUACAUGAGUGGUGUCUUUUUAAAAAAUUUACUUUAUUUGCUUCUCUAGCUUCAUCGUUAGUUAGGCAGUUAAAUCUAACCAUUUGGAGGUAUUUUCAUAUAACCUCCAUUGAGGACAAUUUGGCAAUAGCUUUUAAAAUUAUAAAUAUAUUUGUACAGUUAUAAGCUGCCAUAUCUAUAAAACUAUUUGAUAGACAAAAGUUGAAAACCCUCCAAGAGCUCAUCAAUAAAAGAUUAAAUUAAUUAUGAUACAUCCAUAUGAGCACUGAGCAGCUGUGAAAAAAAUGAGGAAGUAAUUCCUGUGCUGAUAUGGGAAGACUUCCAAGACAUGUUGUUAAGUACAGAAUGGUGUAUACAGUAUGCUAUAUAGUGUGGUAAAAGGUUUAGGGAUAAGCAUUUAUAUUUAUAACUGUUUAUAUUUACAUAAAGUAAUUCUGAAAGGAUACAAAAAAGCUAACAAAAGAGAUUACCUGUGGUAGUGUGGGGCUUGGGGAUUGGAUGGGUGAGAAACAGUAGUGGAAAUGAGAUAUUGUACAGUUUAAGGCAUUAUACACCUAUAAAAACAUGGGAAUGUAUUACCUACUCAAAAAGUGAAAUUAAGAGAGAUACAAGAAACUGUUUGGAUGUUCCUUCCCGUUUCAAUGUAUCUAUAUUUUUUCAGCCCUCAAAGUUAUUAUAAAUGUCAUUAUAAUAACUUCAUAAAGCUUCCCCUAUAAUGAGAAUCUUACCAUUCUCCUAACUCCAAUAGCACUGUAAUCCACCUCUGUUAGGACACAUCACUCUUCAUCAUGUGUGAUUAUUAUUUGCAGAUAUCAUCUUCAAGGCUCUUCUCUAUUUACCACCUGCCAUUCUUGUUCUCACCUCUACAUGACCUUCACAUUUUAUUUCUCUCGGUUUUUUGGACAAGCUACAUUCCCUUCCACAGAGAAGGCUUCCCUGACCCCUUUCACUUGGUUGGAUUACCUUGCUAUUCUUUUCUAUCUUUGUACAUUCCUUUUCAAAAUACUUAUCUCCCUUGUUGUUACCUAUAAUGUCUGUCUUCUUUACUCAAGAGUCUAGACAAAAAGCUCCACGCCAGCCUCGGCUGUGUUUGUAUUGUUUACGUCUGUGUUCCUAGUGCUUAAUAAAAUACCUAGCAAGGGUUAAUAAGUACUUGUUGACUGGAAGGGAAUGACUUCCUUCCCUUACUAGAGAGUGAUUUCCUUACAGGCGAGAUGUGUCAACCUUCUAUAGCCCACAUAAAAUAAAGGACAAUAUCUCCUAUUGGAUAAAAGACAA